AGAAAAAAAGUCAAGUCAUUCGGUAAAAAGUAGCGUAAGCUAGAACACAUUUUCACAAUUGUUAUAAAUUAACCCAAUUCUCAAGUUAAAUAAUUGUUCCCAUUUCUAACUAAAUCUACCCUAACUGUACUGUGGUAAGUUUAAUUAUAUUAGAUGUUUAUAAAUACCUAAAAUUGAACCUAACAGGAAUUAAAGCUACGGUACGGACAGAGUUAGUGCGGGUAGGAAACAGUACGGAUACAAUUUAUACGGAGAAACAGUACGGAUCGAAGACUGUGCGAACAAUACCAUUAGGAGCACAUUUAAAUUACAAUUUAAAUAGACUUCGAAACCGAACAGGUCAUUAAGGACACAGACUGAUUACUGUACGGGUACGAUUUAGACAGCUCUGUACGGCAGCGAAAACAUUAACAGAAUUUAUAAUCCAACCUUGAUUCACAACGAAUAAAGAAGAUUCAUAGAUUUGCUAGUUUUCACUGCUGU